GUAAUUUUUAAAAAUAUUAUUAGUAUAAAUUAUAAAAAAAAUAAAAUAGUAAUGAAAUCGUAACAAAAAGAAGCUAAAUAUAAUAAUUUGGUAUGUUAAGAGAGUAAAAUAUAAAUUUUUAAAUAUUAGAGAUGGAAAGGUAAAAAAUGAGUAUUUAUAAAAAAAAAAAAAUUAUAAUUUAUCUUAAUUUUUUUAAAAAAA
rnacentral:lncRNA from 1 species